CUGCUCAAUGAAUAUUAAAUAGCUGCAGUAUAAAUAACUGUACUAAGGUAGCAUAAUAAAUUGUUUUUUAAUUAAAAACUUGAAUGAAAGAUUUAAUGAAAAAUUAACUUUAUUUAUUUUAAAUUUUAAAUUUUUAUUUAAAUAAAAAAAUUUAAUUAAAUUAAAUAAACAAAAAGACCCUAAAAACUUUAUAAAUUUUUAAAAAAUUUAUUUAAUUGGGGAAAUUAAAAAAAUUAAUUAAUUUUUUUAUUAACAAACAAUAAUUAUUGAAUAAAAUAAUUUUUUUAAAUAAUUAAUUAAUUACUUUAGGGAUAACAG
rnacentral:rRNA from 1 species